AAUGCACCAAUUUGUAAGUCGCUCUGGAUAAGAGCGUCUACUAAAUGAAGCAAA
rfam:Salmo salar isolate Sally breed double haploid chromosome ssa15, whole genome shotgun sequence.